rnacentral:lncRNA from 1 species
GAAACCAAAGUCGUCUCUUCCACCAUCGACGGAGAAUCCCAAGGAGUUAGGCUCUACUGACCCGCCGGAAUCCGGCGCCGUUACUCCUCAGGCUACUUCCGGCGACGGUGAGACCGCUGCCAAGAUUGACGAUGCACCUGCCAUAUCCGUUGUCGCACCUAUAACAGAAGGCAACUCGCUUUUAACGUCUUUGAUGCACCUGCCGUAUCCGUUGUCGCACCUAUAACAGAAGGCAACUCGCUUUUAACCUUUUUAUUGCGAAAUUUACUGUUUUUUUACUACUACUUGUUUACUUUGAAUCUUGAUCAUAUCCAAAGUGUAUGUAAUUAGUUGCUUUCU